AUAAAUUUAAACAAAACAUGAGAGCCGUAUCUAAAAAAAAUCACCUAACUAACUAAAUAACAUGUCUCGGAAUGAAUUAAAUUAACUAAUAAAUUGAAUGACAGAGAAACUUAAUGUUUAUUUUUCCUUCAAUCCAUUUGGCAACCCGAAACACCAUCUUGCCACAAAAUCCAGUAGAUACGAACUAACCAGUAAAAUUACUAUAAGAGUGUAGACAAUUAUAUAACGAUAAAAUAAACACUUCAUACCACUCUUUUUUUAUGGAGUACAUCGGUGACCAAACAACACAUUCAUCUUAGGUCAUCUUAAAUUUUCGUAGGAUUUCAUAUAUCUUUCUAAAGAACGCUAAAGUCCAUUGACAAUCCAUGCAUAUUUAAUUGAAUAUAAAAGCAUGCAAAAAUAAACAACUUGGGCAAAAGUAUUUUACCUUGAUCGAUUUGAAAAGUUGUGAAAGAAUGUAAAAUAAUGCACGCGAAUACCCUUUUUUCUAUGCAUCUUUCUCUCUUUACCUUAACUCUCUUUUUA
rnacentral:lncRNA from 1 species